rnacentral:rRNA from 1 species
GACAGAGGCCUCAAGCGUUAGGCGGAAUCACUGGGCUUAAAGCGCGUGUAGGCGGGACGGCACGUCGGCCGCUGAAAUCCCCCCGGCCACGGAACGGGGAGGCGCCGAUACGACCGCCCUGGAGGGACGUAGGGGGGGCUGGAACAUCCGGUGGAGCGGUGAAAUGCGUUGAGAUCGGAUGGAACGCCCGUGGCGAAAGCGAGCCCCUGGACCGACACUGACACUGAG